GACGAACGCUGGCGGCAGGCUUAACACAUGCAAGUCGAACGCCCCGCAAGGGGAGUGGCAGACGGGUGAGUAACGCGUGGGAAUCUACCUAGUUCUACGGAACAACACAGGGAAACUUGUGCUAAUACCGUAUACGCCCUACGGGGAAAGAUUUAUCGGAAUUAGAUGAGCCCGCGUAAGACUAGCUAGUUGGUGAGGUA
rnacentral:rRNA from 1 species